AGUGAACGCUGGCGAUAGGCCUAACACAUGCAAGUCGAACGGCAGCACAGUAAGAGCUUGCUCUUACGGGUGGCGAGUGGCGGACGGGUGAGGAAUACAUCGGAAUCUACUUUUUCGUGGGGGUUAACGUAGGGAAACUUACGCUAAUACCGCAUACGACCUACGGGUGAAAGCAGGGGAUCUUCGGACCUUGCGCGAUUGAAUGAGCCGAUGUCGGAUUAGCUAGUUGGCGGGGUAAAGGCCCACCAAGGCGACGAUCCGUAGCUGGUCUGAGAGGAUGAUCAGCCACACUGGAACUGAGACACGGUCCAGACUCCUACGGGAGGCAGCAGUGGGGAAUAUUGGACAAUGGGCGCAAGCCUGAUCCAGCCAUACCGCGUGGGUGAAGAAGGCCUUCGGGUUGUAAAGCCCUUUUGUUGGGAAAGAAAAGCAGCAGGUUAAUACCCCGCUGUUCUGACGGUACCCAAAGAAUAAGCACCGGCUAACUUCGUG
rnacentral:rRNA from 1 species